AAGUCGUAACAAGGUUUCCGUAGGUGAACCCGCGGAAGGAUCAUUAACACGUUCCAAACGUAUCAACCAACCGCGAACUCUGACGUUAGUGACCUCUCUCCGGAGACGGUUGCGCCUGAGCUUUGUUUAGGGGAAAGUGGCUGUCUAGGUCUCUGACUUGGACAGAGUACUUCCUUUAUACACUGUUCACAUUAACCCAAACCUUUAUUUUGUUGUUUAUUUCUCAGUAAAGGACGUGGCGUUCGCGCUAUUGUCUUUUAUUACAAACUUGUACAACUCUUAGCAACGGAUGUCUUGGUUUCC
rnacentral:misc_RNA from 1 species